rnacentral:lncRNA from 1 species
AUGAAUGCCAGAUCAUUGCAAAAACAUGAACAAGAAGGAGGGAAACUGCAGAAGCUGAGUACCCUGGUGUUAGUAUUGGGGCUGUGGCUUUGCAGGUUCUGGUUGGCAGCGCUCAUUUCUGCAGAGCUACUGUGGGAUCCUGCUGCCCACAGAACCAGAGGGAAAGUUUCUCUCGCAGACUAUGUGUCAGUACGUGAAAGUCCACGUGUCCGUAUCUGGCUCAUUCCAGCUGUGAUGCCUCAAAGCUGCCUUUUCUGCCUAUUGAAGUGUUAAUAGUUUCAUGCUAAGUAUGCUAAAGAGGUUCCUUAGAUCCUCAUUUACAUAUGUUUUAUAUUACCCAUGUUUUUGCUUUUCAUGGUUUAUUGUUCCCUCCCACAACUUGCCACUAUCCCCUUCAUUAAUCCAUCUAAUUGAAACCUGACAUUUUCUGAUUUAUUGUUCCAAGUCCUCUUAAAAUCACCAGUCAGAAGAAGUUGUACCCCUGUGUAGUUAAAAGAAGACAUUCAACAGCAAAUUUUGUCUUUCCUGUGCAUAAAGAUUUCUUUUUUCAUCUGCCCUCAGUAAGAGAUUGAAAGAUAACCCUGCAAAGCAUGAAUUUCCAUUAAAUCAGCCAGCUGAGAGAGCAGGCAGGCUGAAUUUUUCAUUUGAAUUUGUUUUGUUUUGUGCUUG